rnacentral:rRNA from 1 species
GAUGAACGCUGGCGGCGUGCCUAAUACAUGCAAGUCGAGCGAACAGACGAGGAGCUUGCUCCUCUGACGUUAGUGGCGGACGGGUGAGUAACACGUGGAUAACCUACCUAUAAGACUGGGAUAACUUCGGGAAACCGGAGCUAAUACCGGAUAAUAUAUUGAACCGCAUGGUUCAAUAGUGAAAGACGGUUUUGCUGUCACUUAUAGAUGGAUCCGCGCCGCAUUAGCUAGUUGGUAAGGUACCGGCUUACCAAGGCAACGAUGCGUAGCCGACCUGAGAGGGUGAUCGGCCACACUGGAACUGAGACACGGUCCAGACUCCUACGGGAGGCAGCAGUAGGGAAUCUUCCGCAAUGGGCGAAAGCCUGACGGAGCAACGCCGCGUGAGUGAUGAAGGUCUUCGGAUCGUAAAACUCUGUUAUUAGGGAAGAACAAAUGUGUAAGUAACUAUGCACGUCUUGACGGUACCUAAUCAGAAAGCCACGGCUAACUACGUG